rnacentral:rRNA from 1 species
CCUACGGGUGGCAGCAGUGAGGAAUAUUGGUCAAUGGGCGCGAGCCUGAACCAGCCAAGUAGCGUGAAGGAUGACUGCCCUACGGGUUGUAAACUUCUUUUAUAAAGGAAUAAAGUGAGGCACGUGUGCCUUUUUGUAUGUAUUUUAUGAAUAAGGAUCGGCUAAAUCCGUGCCAGCAGCCGCGGUAAUAAGGAGGAUCCGAGCGUUAUCCGGAGUUAUUGGGUUUAAAGGGAGCGUAGAUGGGUUGGUAAGUCAGGUGUGAAAGUUUGCGGCUUAACCGUAAAAUUGCAGUUGAUACUGGCGGCCUUGAGUAGAGUUGAGGUAGGCGGAAUUCGUGGUGUAGCGGUGAAAUGCUUAGAUAUCAUGAAGAACUCCGAUUGCGAAGGCAGCCUACUAAACUGCCACUGACAUUGAUGCUCGAAAGUGUGGGUAUCAAACAGGAUUAGAUACCCUAGUAGUC